rnacentral:lncRNA from 10 species
AUGCCACGUGCUGGCAUCCAUACAGUGAUUUAAAACAGCAGAAGAUGAAGGCUAAGAAAUGAUUUCCUCUUUCUGGGAACGUAGGACGGUGCAGAAGGAGGAGAACCCCCGAUCCCCACCCAAGGAAGCAAAGUUACUCAGACCAAUCCUGGUGAUCAUGGGGUGACAGAUGUUACAGCCUUCACAUCUGGCCUCUUUUGUAGCUUUGAACUAACCUGCCUAAGAAGAGAGGAAAACUGUUGAUGUAGUGGGAACGCUCCCUCCUCGAGCAUUAACCGGGUUGACCCCACCCCUCUGUCCUCGCUGUCUUCAGUCCAAUCAAGAUCGGAAAGCAGGAUCAAGAGAAAGAUGAUCAGACCGGAACAGGUAAACGUUCCAUAUAGAGAUGCUUCGGAAGUGCGGAGAAGUGACAGCUUAUCCCCUCUCAGGCCGUCAUGUUCUCUCAGCAGACCCUCUGAAUUACUGAUGUCAGAACUUAUUGGCUGGGCUACAGCACAUAAGCAACUCCUAGAGUUUUAAGACAUUAAAAGAAGGUGAUUUCAGACAAGAAAUCUAGCGCACCA